rnacentral:hammerhead_ribozyme from 1 species
AUCCAGCUGACGAGUCAUGGACAGGAAGAAACGCACGUCCUGGAU